rnacentral:rRNA from 1 species
UACGUAGGUCCCGAGCGUUGUCCGGAUUUAUUGUGCGUAAAGCGAGCGCAGGUGGUUUAUUAAGUCUGGUGUAAAAGGCAGUGGCUCAACCAUUGUAUGCAUUGGAAACUGGUAGACUUGAGUGCAGGAGAGGAGAGUGGAAUUCCAUGUGUAGCGGUGAAAUGUGUAGAUAUAUGGAGGAACACCGGUGGCGAAAGCGGCUCUCUGGCCUGUAACUGACACUGAGGCUCGAAAGCGUGGGGAGCAAACAGG